ensembl:lncRNA LINC01338 long intergenic non-protein coding RNA 1338
GGGAGGAACCUGCGUGUGAAUGAGACGGCUGUCAGCAAGCCUACACUCAAAGGAUUUACCCGGUGCAGAGAGCUCCAAGAGAACACCAGAGCCCCUGGUAUUCUGGUUCACUUGAAUUUGUCCUCCUGCCUAUUCCAUAUUUUUUUCACACAUAUAAUCAUUUGUUUGCAGUCCGGAAAUAUAAAACCAUUCAAGAAACGGAGGCCCAACUAUUGGGUUUGCGUCCUCAUCUGCCUUUCCAGACCAGCAGUUCCCAAAAGCCAGUGUGAGAACCAUCUGCAUCAGAGUGACCAGUCUGUGAAGAUCAAGCAUAGGAAUGCCAGGACUCCACCCUACAUGUCCUUUAUCUGGGGUGGUGCCCAGGCUUCCCGAUUAUUCUACCAACUCUACCAAAUCCUUGUUCUUCGUUGCACAAUUAGCUGUGAAACAGACAGAGGUUACCUACAAUAAGUGCAUGUCAUUUUGGACUAGCCAUAUUUCAAGGGCUCAGUAUGGCUAAUGGCCACUAUAUUGGACAUCGACGGUCAAACCCAUUUUACAUUCCCCUGACAACUAUGAUUGGUGUGAGGCCUAUGAUGGCCCAACUAGGCUGACAGCAAAGAUCUUUCCUGUUGGCAAAGAUCAUCUUUCUCUCUCCUGCUGGCAAGAACAAGAAAGAAUAAAGGUCUGAUCAACCCAUGAGCUUUCUUGGGAUUUAUGAGGAGAACCAGACUUUGGAUGAAACUGACAUUGAAAUGAGCAGGAUGGAGAGAAAAAUCCUAGGGGUUUGGUGACAAUACUGGGCUGCUGAUUAAACUUGGAGUUUGCCCUGACUCUGAACUUUCUAUUUAGUGAGAUAAUAAUUGUCUCAAUUGUUUAAGCUAGCUUGUGUUGCUUCCAGCUAAAAGAGUGCCAGCUAUAUACAAUGUGCAAGCUGACAUGUUGUCAUGCUCUGACACUGAUGAACACACCCCCACAAGGCUGUGAAGUAGUAGGGGAAGAACUAACCUGCAUGGAGUUGGAAGGGGGGGAAAAACAAAAUCAAACCAUAUGGAAAGCAGUUGAAUUCACUGCAUUAAAUAUACUUUUUAAAAUGUACAACAUAAUAGCCAUAUGUUUAAGUCAGAAUCAUCUGCAAAGCACGCAUGUUCACUUUCUGUUCCAGAGUCAGGCGUCUGAAUUCUGUGAGCAAAGCCUAGAGAAAAAAAACUAAGCCUAUGCCAGAUUUACAGGAAUAGUUAUCUUUAUAAAGACUAUAUGAACUGUAAUACAAAGUUACAAAGCUGAAGGCAAAGCUUUUCAAUAAAGCAAGUGGCUCUCAAAGAGAUACCUUCAAGAGUGUGGUUCUAUGUUUCCCACCUAGUGCUAAGUAAAACAUACAUUUCAAUUAGAAUUAGAAUGUACUUCAGGAAGUAAAUUAUUAAAUGACCUAGCACAUUUUGAUGUUUUUAAAAGCCCAAACUCCCAGCUGUGGAGAACAAUGAGUCUUUAAUGAUAAUUUAUUCCCCUCUUGUUCCCAUGAUUGCUAGAUAGCUGGGGGCCCUAGAUACUUAUUGGGCUCCAGGGACCCAAUGUGGGCAUUGUCAGAGGAGGAUACCAAUUAGCAGGUUUGGUUUCACAAAGAAGCAAAGAUUGCCCUGAGGUGAAAAACUCUGUCUCAGAGAAAACACCCUUGAACUUGAAUUGUCUUUUUUGCUCAUCAUUAGAAGUCAGCAAAGGAUUUAGCCUCUCCCUCACCAAUUCAUUAUCCACACUCUUCAGAAAAAAAAAAAUAAUAAUAAAAUAAAAUAUUUUCUCUUAUUAUGAAGGUGACAAUAAAGACAGUAAGCUUACCACAUGCAGAAAAGAGAGUGACCACUUUCUACUAGUUUUAAUGGCACUAUCACUGCUUCCAAAAAUUGCUUUAGGUCACUUACGGCCCCUGGAGAUAAACAUCUGAGGAUUCUGCAUAAGGUCCUUAAUGGGUGUUUUCAGGACAGCAUAAUUACCUGAGGCUUGUAAGAGUGAAAAGCAUCAGCCUCAAGGUUACUGAAUAAUGUAUGGUUGCCUGUUUGUCUAUUAGAGAGAGAUAAAGAAGAACAAAAAUCCAGUCACCAUAUGAAUCACAAUUUUAUUAUCUUUUUCAUUCAUUUAGUAUUUCAUUCAACACAUUUGAAAGCAUUUAUUAUGCACCAGGCACUGUACUAAACACUUUAGAUUCUAGUAUGAUUAAGACAGCAGAGUUCUACCCAUUGAGAUGUUCACAAUCUAGGUGGGGAAGGACAUGGAGAAUGAAGAAUAAGCAGACCAUUAAUUCCCAGAAAGGAGUAGGGUUACCUCUGGGCCCCUGCGGAGGUCAAUGAAGCUUUGUCUAUGGCCUUUAAGAGCUUUUCAUUUUUCUCAGCAGCAGGGAUCUGUCCAUUCUAUAUCUUUUUUUUUUUUUUUUCAAUCUUCAAACAUUUUAUUACCUUUCUGGCUACAUAGUGAAUUCAGUGUCUUCAUACUGAAUGGUAGAAGAUGGGAAGGAAUUUUUCUUUUGCUUGGAAGUAAGUAACCAUUUUUGGGUUGCUAAAGUCAAUAUUUAGCCCCUUCCCUGAGCACCCCCUCCGCUCAAUCCCUAUGCCCUGGCACCCAUAUAAAUAAAUAAAAUG